GUGGGGAAUAUUGGGCAAUGGGGGAAACCCUGACCCAGCAACGCCGCGUGAGUGAAGAAGGCCUUCGGGUUGUAAAGCUCUGUCAUUAGGGAAGAAGAAGUGACGGUACCUAAUGAGGAAGCCCCGGCUAACUACGUGCCAGCAGCCGCGGUAAUACGUAGGGGGCGAGCGUUGUCCGGAAUUACUGGGCGUAAAGGGUGCGUAGGCGGCGUGUUAAGUUGGAUGUGAAAUACCCGGGCUUAACCUGGGGGGUGCAUUCGAUACUGACAGGCUAGAGUGCAGGAGAGGGAAGCGGAAUUCCUAGUGUAGCGGUGAAAUGCGUAGAUAUUAGGGGGAACACCAGUGGCGAAGGCGGCUUUCUGGACUGUAACUGACGCUGAUGCACGAAAGCGUGGGGAGCAAACAGGAUUAGAAACCCCUGUAGUCC
rnacentral:rRNA from 1 species